rnacentral:rRNA from 1 species
AAACUUAAAGGAAUUGACGGGGACCCGCACAAGCGGUGGAUGAUGUGGUUUAAUUCGAUGCAACGCGAAAAACCUUACCCACCUUUGACAUGUAUGGAAGAUCGCAGAGACGCGAUUGUGCUCGAAAGAGAGCCAUAACACAGGUGCUGCAUGGCUGUCGUCAGCUCGUGUCGUGAGAUGUUGGGUUAAGUCCCGCAACGAGCGCAACCCUUGUCAUUAGUUGCUACAUUUAGUUGGGCACUCUAAUGAGACUGCCGGUGACAAACCGGAGGAAGGUGGGGAUGACGUCAAGUCCUCAUGGCCCUUAUAGGUGGGGCUACACACGUCAUACAAUGGCUGGUACAAAGGGUUGCCAACCCGCGAGGGGGAGCCAAUCCCAUAAAGCCAGUCGUAGUCCGGAUCGCAGUCUGCAACUCGACUGCGUGAAGUCGGAAUCGCUAGUAAUCGUGGAUCAGAAUGUCACGGUGAAUACGUUCCCGGGUCUUGUACACACCGCCCGUCACACCAUGGGAGCGGGUUCUGCCAGAAGUAGGUAGCCUAACCGUAAGGAGGGCGCUUACCACGGCAGGGUUCGUGACUGGGGUGAAGUCGUAACAAGGUAGCCGUAUCGGAAGGUGCGGCUGGAUCACCUCCUUUAUG